rnacentral:rRNA from 1 species
GCUAAGAAUAUUCCGCAAUGGACGAAAGUCUGACGGAGCGACGCCGCGUGGAUGAUGAAGGCCGGAAGGUUGUAAAAUCCUUUUAUGACUGAGGAAUAAGUGAAGUGAGAGAAACGCUUCAUGGUGACUGUAGGUCAUGAAUAAGCAACGGCUAAUUACGUGCCAGCAGCCGCGGUAACACGUAAGUUGCGAGCGUUGUUCGGAAUUAUUGGGCGUAAAGGGUAUGUAGGCGGUUCUGCAAGUCUGGUGUGAAAUGCCGGGGCUCAACCCCGGAACUGCGUUGGAAACUGCAGGACUUGAAUCGCUGAGGGGCAGCCAGAAUUCCAGGUGUAGGGGUGAAAUCUGUAGAUAUCUGGAAGAAUACCAAUGGCGAAGGCAGGCUGCCAGCAGAUGAUUGACGCUGAGGUACGAAGGUGCGGGGAGCAAACAGG